rnacentral:rRNA from 1 species
UACGGGGGGGGCAAGCGUUGUUCGGAAUUACUGGGCGUAAAGGGCUCGUAGGCGGCCAACUAAGUCAGACGUGAAAUCCCUCGGCUUAACCGGGGAACUGCAUCUGAUACUGGAUGGCUUGAGUUUGGGAGAGGGAUGCGGAAUUCCAGGUGUAGCGGUGAAAUGCGUAGAUAUCUGGAGGAACACCGGUGGCGAAGGCGGCAUCCUGGACCGGCAUUGACGCUGAGGCACGAAAGCGUGGGUAGCAAACAGG